AAUAAAAAAGAAAAGCAAUCGACUCCAGAUGAAAACCUCACCCCGCUCCCAUUCCCGUCGCCGCCCUCUUCCCCCAGCACAACGACGCCUUCCGCCUCACCACACCACACCACACCACACCAUCAAUCCUCAAAAGGUCGCCUAAACGGCUACCCAAUUAGCCCUAUUCUGCUUUUAGAACUGACUUCUAAAACUGAAUCUUUGGAAACAUAUAGAGCAAAAGAUUUGGUUCGCGGCCUCGAUAAGCAGAGGACGACGGAAGCGAUGGACUUUCCGGCGAAAACGCGCAAUAAGCGGCGGCAAUCAACACGAAAGAUAUGAGGCUACUAAUAAGGGAUCGAGUGCCGAUGAAGGGGGUGGAACAUCCGAUGGAAGAAUAAAGCAACAGACGGCUCUAAACGACAAAAGAUUUGUAGAGUUGUGAAGCAGUUGAUCAUGCUAAGAGAUUGAAGGAGGACUGAGAGGGUUAUUAUGCUGUCCAUUUGGAUUCUUUAUGGUUUAUGAACUAGGUAGUGACAGUUCCCACACAAGACCUUCAACCCACCAAUCCUCGGAUACUUGACUAAGUUGAUGAUCUUGCACAACUAAGUUAUUUGAUCGAGCCUUCAGUUCUUCACAAUCCUCAGCCUAGAUAUUUACAAGAUAAUUUAUAUAGAAUGGCAGGCCCUGUAUAUUUUGUCCAUCAAUCCUUUUAAAAAUGUCUAGCUAUAUGGGGAUGAUAAAGAAAGAAACUUUUGGACACUCCUCAUACUUAUGCUGUUGCUGAUGCAGCAUGCAAUGCAAUGAUAGCAGAUGAAGAAGUUGACUAAUAAGAAAGAAGGAGGUGCAAAAAAAAAGGAAAAAAGAAAUAAAAAAGAAAGAAGAAGGUGCAAAAAAAAGAAAAGAAAAAAACAGAAAGAGGGAGAUGAAAGCAAAAAAAGAAUAUAAAGCGCUGUUGGAGGAGUUGAAAUCAGCAACCUCAACAACUGUUACUAGGUAGAAAAGGAGUUGAAAUAGGAGAGCAAUGAGACUGACAUAAGAGGGGGAACAAACUUAGGAAGUUACCUGAUUAGACAGAAGGAGAUGCAAAAUAAAAAAAGAAAGAAAAAAAGAAAGAAAGAAGGUGAAGCAAGCAAAGAAAGAAGAUAAAGAGCUGUUGGAGGAGAUGAAAUCAGCAACUUCAAGAACUGUUACAAGGGAGAAAAGGAGAUUAUGUAGAAGAGGACUGAGGCUGACACAAUUCUGAACAACUGCCCAAUCUAGGACAUGCCCCAGAUCCUUGACGUGCAGAAGCUGACCAACACAAGAGAAUAAAAGGCAUGGGAUAUAGCUCAUCGGCUAUUACUUAUGACAACAUCAUGGUCCUGUAGCCGAAAUGAAAAGCUGGAAAGCUGGUCAACUCGAGAAUAUCCCUAGAUUCUCAUUCUCCCAGAAAUGAAGAAAAAUGGUGUAGCCGAAAAUAGAUGAAAUGAUGAGAAAUUUCUCCGGUUAAGCUUGGACAGCUCGAAGAAGCCAAGGCUGUGCUAGAUGCCUAGACUUCUACUUGCCACACAUACGACGUCAGAGUGCGGAACAUACUCCUGAUUGGCUACAAUCCGAAGGGUCUCCCCGAUAAAUCCGAUGCACUGCUUUGGGAUUUAAUAAAAAGGGAAGAAAUACCGACCUCCCUUCAGAAGGGCCGUCGAAUAUCCACGCUUUCUUCUCCUCCUCCAUUGUCCAGUCCUUUCGAUAAGUGCUAUGGAGCACUCUAAUAGCCGCAUGACACGAUUCUUGAGAACCAGAUUCUAAAAAAGAGUUGUGAAUCAGUUGCUCAUGCUAAGAGAUUGAAGGAGGAUUCAAUGCUUUUGCUGAGAUUGUUAUCAUACUGGUCAUUUGGAUUCUUUAUGGUUUAUGAACUAGGUGCUGGUUGCAUUACCUGAGAUUAGAAUCUUCCUGGUUGGUGUUUGCGAGAUGUUGAGCUCUGGGAAAAUAAAUCAAACUCAGGGGAGAAAGAAUUGGAUAUGCUAUCGGUAGUGACAGUUCCCACUCAAGACCUACCAACCAAUCCUCAGAUACUUGACUAAGUAGAUGAUCUUACACAACUAAGUUAUUUGAACGAGCCUUCAGUUCUUCACAAUCUUCAGACUAGAUAUUUACAAGAUAAUUUAUAUAGAAUGGCAGGCCCUGUACUUUUGUCAAUCAAUACAUUUAAUAAUGUCUAGCUAUAUGGGGAUGAUAAAGAAAGAAACUUUUGGACACUCCUCAUGCUUAUGCUGUUGCUGAUGCAGCAUGCAAUGCAAUGAUAGCAGAUGAAGAAGUUGACUAAUAAGAAAGAAGGAGGUGCAAAAAAAAAAGAAAAGAAAAAAAGAAAAGAGAAAAGAAAAGAGAAAAAAAGAAAAAAUGAAAGAAAGAAGGUGCAAAAAAAAAGAGAAGAAAAAAAAAGAAAGAAGACGAAAGCAAAAACAAAGAAGAUAAAACGCUGUUGGAGGAGAUUAAAUCAGCAACCUCAAGGUCUGUUACAAGGGAGAAAAGGAGUUGAAAUAGGAGAGGAAUGAGGCUGACAUAGGAGGGGGAACAAAAUUAGGAAGUUGCCUGAUUAUACUGAAGGAGAUGCAAAAUAAAAGAAAAAAAGAAAGAAGGUGAAGCAAGCAAAGAAAGAUGAUAAAGAGCUGUUGGUGGAUAUUAAAUCAGCUACUUCAAGAACCCUUACAAGGGAGAAAAUGAGUUUAUGUAGGAGAGGGCUGAGGCUGAGCAGCAUGCAAGGGAAGAAGAGACCCAAUCUAGGACAUGCCCCAGAUCCCAUGACGUGCAGAAGCUUACCAAAACAAGGAAAGCAGGUCAAUUCGAGAAAAUCCCUGAGACUCUCAUUGUAGAAGAAUGGUGUCGACGAAAAUAGAUGAAAUGAUGAGGUUAUUAUCACUUGAUCUCACUUUAUGCACAUCUAGGGAAAAAAAGAUGAAAUGAUAAGGUUGUGGGCUUUACAGAAGCCAAGGCUGUGCUAGAUGACUAGACUUCUACUUUCCACACAUACGACAACAGAGUGCCGAACAUACUCCUGAUUGGCUACUAUCAGAAGGGUCUCUCCGAUAAAUCUGAUGCAUUGCUUUGGGAUAUUAUAAAUAGGGAAGAAAUACCGACUUCCCUUCAGAAGAUAAUUAAGUUCUGAUUUUCAUCAUGGCCGUCGACUAUCCACGCUUUCUUCUCCUCCUCCGAUGUCCAGUCCUUUCGAUAAGUGCUUAUGGAGCACUCUAAUAGCCGCAUGACACGAUUCUUGAGAACCAGAUGCUAAAAAAGAGUUGUGAAGCAGUUGAUCAUGCUACGAGAUUGAAGGAGGAUUCAAUGCUUUUGCUGAGAGUGUUAUCAUACUGGUCAUUUGGAUACUUUAUGGUUAAUGAACUAGGUGCUGGUUGCAUUACCUGAGAUUAGAAUCUUCCAGGU